UCUUUCUCUCACACAGGCUUGCCACAAUCUUCCACUCUGUAUCAAGACAGGCUUUCCUCUUUGACGGAGGCCAACGAGCAUUCGUCUUUUCCAUCUAGACAGUUCAGAGUGAAAGAGCACCCCAAAGGCUAGGUAGCACAGAGGGGUAAACUGAGGCCACUGGGCAUCACUCUGCACUGUUCACAGCUUGCUAACUGCCGUAGCAGAUGCGUGUUCGAUGUGAGACUGGGGCAUCCCUUGGUGUGUCCAGCUGGCUGUUUCUGAAGGUUUUUGCUAAGGGGAAGCAGCCUGGGCAUUGGAGUCUGACCUGAGUCCCAUCAAGAUCACUGCUGAGCACCUGGACCAAACCCGCUUCCCAGAGCUUUGAGGGCAGGACUCUAGAGCCACGGUUCAGAUUCCACUUCUGGCUUGAGGAUUUAGCUAAAUUGGAAACCUAAGUAUUUUGACAGCACAGAAGAAUGGUACAUCUGGAGGUCUGGGGUCCAGCGAAGCUGGGAGCCAUCCUAAACAAAUGGAUUGACUGCUUCCGUACCAUCAUUAACUUCUGCUCCUGGACUGACAUCCGGAGUUUAACUCCUGACAGCUGGGGCACAGGCAAAAGGAAACCUUUUUAAUUUAUAGUGAGCAGAGACAAGUUCCUCCCCCUCUUCAACAUCCCCACCUUCCUGGCCCAUUUAAAGGGAUGGAGUCACUUGAAACAAUAAAAUCUUCUAUGGUUCCCUAUGUGAAA